AUGGCGGCGACAAAUAAAGCAGAUCAAAUUGGACAAAUAAAGUGGUUGUUUCCCAACUGGGUUGCCAUGCUUCUUGGUUCGAGGCGCGGCGACCAAGAUCUCUUCCUCGACUAUAUGAAGGUUGUCAUGAGAUACACCAACGUCCAAGGGCUCGUAGAUGCAGUGUCCAUGAAGGUUGCUAUGUCGCUCUGGCACAAGCUACAAGUGAAGUUAACGCAGAGUUGCACUAAGACGACGACAACGACUUACAGAUCGUCUCCUGCCAGCACUGCAACCUCGCCGCUGUCCUCCUCCCAUCAUUGA
rnacentral:rRNA from 1 species